GCCCGGCGACUCGCACCGGAAGCGGAAGUGAGCCCCUGCCGUUCGCCAUCUUGGGGAGGUCGACGCUAGAGGAGGAGGAGCCGAGGGGUGCCGCCGGCUGACAAGCGGCUUCCUCCGCCUCUGUUUGGGUGACGCGGAAGCGAUGGCUUAGGCCCUGUCCCAGUUUGGCUUCAGGUCCAGAGUCUUUCCAGUGAAGAAAACUGAUUGACAUCAUCAGCAAGGCUGGACCUUUCAUCAUACACAAAUGACCCUGGGAGAGACUGGACUGGUGAGAAGUUGACAGGAGGACUGCACUCUGGGCAGUGGAGGAGACUGCAAGAGGACACAUCUUUGCUAGACGGUGCUUCACCGUCUGACUCUACCUCCCAGGACUAACGGGAGGGCAAGCAGUAGGCUGACGAGGUCCAAGAAGGAUCAUUAAUACCACAUCUGCCAGGGACUCUAUCUGUCCCUGAGGGAGAAUGGACAACAUUUCUUGCUUUGAAGCUAAAACAGGGAAAAUCAGGAAUGGAUGGUUCAUGUCAUCUUCCUUCCUUUUUUUUUUUUUCCUAUUGGCAUCUCUGAAUACAAUUUUCAGGUUCUUGGUGUUACAUGCUCAGCUCAGUGAACCCACAAGGGUGAGUUAGAAAGGAACAGGAUAAGGUGUUUUCCCAGCAGUUCAAGUUCCCCAAGCUAAUGCAAAAAAAAGGACCCUGAAAGAGCUAUGAUACUCUUCAAUUAUUACUUAAAAUCAAGCACAACACAGUUUCUGCCUAAUCUCUCAUAUUUCUUGUACCCAAACGGAAACGCUCACC